GGGGCUGGAGUCGGUCCCAAGGGUUGGGCUGUUCGCCCAUUAAAGCGGUACGCGAGCUGGGUUUAGAACGUCGUGAGACAGUUCGGUCCCUAUCCGCUGUGCGCGUAGGAAUAUUGAGAAGGGCUGUCCCUAGUACGAGAGGACCGGGACGGACGAACCUCUGGUGUGCCAGUUGUUCUGCCAAGGGCAUGGCUGGUUGGCUACGUUCGGGAGGGAUAACCGCUGAAAGCAUCUAAGCGGGAAGCCUGCUUCGAGAUGAGUAUUCCCACCUCCUUGAGAGGGUAAGGCUCCCAGUAGACGACUGGGUUGAUAGGCCGGAUAUGGAAGCCCUGUAAGGGGUGGAGUUGACCGGUACUAAUAGGCCGAGGGCUUGUCCUC
rnacentral:ncRNA from 1 species